UUCGCCUGCGCUAGCACACAGCGGUUUGUUUGCUUGAGGAUGAGAUUUGUGGUCUGUGGUAGCGGUGAAGCAACUUUGUAUUGUAAAAUUGUAAAAUGGGCCGCUCUGUUACUACAGAUGCAACAAGUGCCAGUCCACUUUUUCUCAGCUGCACCCUCUCAGUUCAGGCAGCAGCAGUACCAGGUGUAUGUACAUAACUUCCAAGACACACGAGUGCAAUUCUGAAGCUGAUUUUCAGCCAUGGAGAGAAGAAAUGCAGGAUGCAGCCAAGAGUCAUUUUACUAAAGGCACAGGGGUAAAACGAUUGAAAGAUGGAGGUUUAAAGUGUUAUUAUAUUUGUAACUGAUUGGAUGCUUUUAUAGAGAGGACACAUCAAAGGAAAAGGUCCAUCAAAUCACAAUAUUCCGUCAGGCGUGGGGACACCUGCCUUGCUGAUAUGUCUGCAAUGUUCCAAACUGGCAAGGUCUCGUUUGUCUUCCAAGCUUCCUAUUAUGCACAUGAUUUUGGGGCUGUCCUACACCCCACUUACAAAAACAGAGGAAGAUGUAAUAGAGGCAGCCCGUGCAGGGGGGGGGGGGGGGUAUAUGUUUAUUCACACAAAAGGAGAUGUCAGCCAGGCAAGUGCCAGCUUGCUACUCCUUAAAAAAAAAAAAACAGGUACGGGAGAAGCCGCGAUGGCAACGAUGUGCUGCGGGCGUACAGGCACUUGUAAAACACUAUGUUGUACUGGAAUGUCCUUUUUUACCUUCCAGAAACUAUUUGUUUAUGUUAGGGAAACUACGUGACGGCAUUGCACUCAGCGUACUAUGCAGCUCAGUAUUCGGGGUGUGCUGGAUGGCACGUUUCAAAGGAUCCAAUUCACCUCACUACAAGGCAGUACCUGUACAUCACCAUGAGGGACUAUAAUAUAUGUUACAGUGAGAGGAAACACGACGACAACCAAACCAGUGUUGCCUUGUUGGUCAGUUCUAUCAGAGCCCAAACAAACAGUCCAGUGCUUUCCCUCACACACAAAGGCAAGAAGGAUGAUCCUACUGUCUUUCAACGAGGAAAUACUGACUUGUUGCAAGAUGAGGAUUUCUUGCUAGUUCUCAUGACAGGCAUGCAAAAACAGCUGUUAAGGCAUUUGGGCACCAACAAAAGUGUGAUGAACACAGGAGGAGCAGGAAAGCUAGCUGGUGUUGACUUGAUGUUAAUGCCGAAGUGUACACUUUCUUUUUACCCGUCUCUCCUUCACUUCGUGUAUUAAAGCUUCUUUGCUGGUU